CCUAAUGUAUACAAUAUUGAGUUGUAGUAAUCUCUCUAACUAUAUCAUCUAAUUAUUAUAAUAGGAUACUAAAUCAUAAUGAUUUAUAAACAUACUACACUACAUUCAAGUGCAUCAUGUGACAUUUAGGCCAUGUCGAUUUUAAGAACAGUUUUUAAUCAUAGAAAAUUGUAUACCACAAUAACCUUAAUCUACACUGUAAUGUCCACAAUCACAAAUGAAACCGAUAUAUAGUUAGAAACUACAACAACUGAAAUCAUAGUAAAAUUACUACCAUAAUCACAAUUUAAAACACUCACCCAACCAACACUUAAUUCAAUAAGGCACUAAUCAGCAGGUACUUACAAGUUACUACAAUCUAAAAUCAUGUUAUUUGAACAUGUUUGUCAAACAUACACAGAUGAAAGUCAUGAAACCACUGACAGACUUACGAGAAGUGAGCACUAUGCUUCCAAGUUGCCACCAUAAUAACCUUAGUACUAGAACAAUACAUGCUGUUUUUUGCACUUGAUCUGAGUACACAAGAUUCUGGUCUCUCUCAUGGUUAUGGAAACUUGAAGCUAUAGCUGAAGGUCCUCUCCAAAUAGAGUAGUUGUCAGAACUCUGUGGUCUACAUUGUAAGUGGAUCACUUGCAGCUAGAGAAGUUAGGGAGAAAAUAAAGGAUAAGCACUACUUUCUUCUUUUCCCCAACUCUCUCUUUUGUGAGAAUGCAUUAUAUGCAAUCCCAUUAUUUAAACAUGUACGAACAUUC
rnacentral:lncRNA from 1 species